UACGGGGGGGGUAAGCGUUGUUCGGAAUUACUGGGCGUAAAGGGCUCGUAGGCUGCCAACUAAGUCGGACGUGAAAUCCCUCGGCUUAACCGGGGAACUGCGUCCGAUACUGGAUGGCUUGAGUUUGGGAGAGGGAUGCGGAAUUCCAGGUGUAGCGGUGAAAUGCGUAGAUAUCUGGAGGAACACCGGUGGCGAAGGCGGCAUCCUGGACCGGCAUUGACGCUGAGGCGCGAAAGCUAGGGGAGCAAACGGG
rnacentral:rRNA from 1 species